rnacentral:rRNA from 1 species
UACGAAGGGGGCUAGCGUUGUUCGGAAUUACUGGGCGUAAAGCGCACGUAGGCGGGUUGUUAAGUCAGGGGUGAAAUCCUGGAGCUCAACUCCAGAACUGCCUUUGAUACUGGCAACCUAGAGGCUGGAAGAGGUUAGUGGAAUUCCCAGUGUAGAGGUGAAAUGCGUAGAUAUCUGCAGGAACACCCGUGGCGAAAGCGGCGAGCUGGAUCACUACUGACGCUGAAGAACGAAAGCUAGGGGAGCAAACAGG